rnacentral:tRNA from 1 species
AGUGAAGUGUCUGAAAAAGAACAAUUUUGAUAGGAUUGCGCAUGUGGCCCCCCUCACCACCUUCACUG